rnacentral:tRNA from 3 species
AGUUAAUAAGCUAUCAUGCAUAUAUUUUGAAAAUAUAAACUUAGAAAUUAAAAACUUUCUAUUAACUU